GGACUACACGGGUAUCUAAUCCCGUUCGCUCCCCUAGCUUUCGCGCCUCAGCGUCAGAAAAGGUCCAGCACGUCGCUUUCGCCACCGGCGUUCCUUCCGAUAUCAACGCAUUUCACCGCUCCACCGGAAGUUCCACAUGCCCCUACCUCCCUCGAGACGGCCAGUAUCAAAAGCUAUUUUCCGGUUAAGCCGAAAGAUUUCACCCCUGACUUGGCCGCCCGCCUACGCGCCCUUUAAGCCCAGUGAUUCCGAACAACGUUCGCACGGUUUGUCUUACCGCGGCUGCUGGCAC
rnacentral:rRNA from 1 species